rnacentral:snoRNA from 1 species
GUCGACAAUACUUCAGAGAAUCAUUUCUAUAGUAUUUGUCCCACUUCUUUGUUUCCCAAAGAAGCUUCAGAUCCCACCCUGGUUGAUGACCACAAAUCCUCGUCGCCCUCGAGUGAAAACUCUCUUUUUGCCCUCGCUCUGUCCGCAAGGAUGGCGGAGAAUGGCGCGCCUCCGGGUCGCCGUCUCUGUAUAGAGGACUGUGAUGAUCUCUAUCCCGGUCACCCAGGGUCUUGCCUUCGGGCGCCUGGGCGGGAUGGGCAGCGAUGGACGUCUGACAGGC